CCAAGUGACAUUCUAGUGAGGUGCAGAGUUUAUGGCUUAGUAAUUGUUGGACGAGCAUCGACGAAAAAGGCCGCCCAGAGGCAAAUAGCGACCAAAGCAUUGGCCUUUUUUUUCGGUGUUCGAUUCAACAAUUAACAAGCCAUUUAUCCUGCAUUUCCCAGAAUGUCAGCCUGAGGAUUCGCAAUAACGGUAACCCAGUACCGUAGCCCCGGUAUUAGCUCAUUUAAGAGCUGUACCGGAUGGUAGUUACCGAGAUGUUUCGGUAACUUCUUCAUCGCCUAAAAUAAAUGGCCAUAAGUUAUACAAUUAUAAUACACUAAAAUUGGCGAACCAAUCUGACGACGUAUUCGGCAAACGCGGGACAUCACGUCUUCGAGAUGCACUAAAUCAAGAACCCCCAGAAAUUCAUUAUACGACUUCCCUGCAUCAUUUAGUAAUGUUUGAAAAUAAAAUAAAAAAA